CUGUGAUACUUAAUAUUGUUUUCUUCUAGAACCUUUAAUGUUCGUUUGAACUGAUGUUCAUCUCCUGUCAGGAUUUUUAUGUCUCCAUUAGUAUUGGUUUUCAGCUGCUGCUCAUGACCAGCGAUUUCUUUUCGAAUUAAACUCACCACUAGUUUUUGUAUAUUUUGGACACAACAAGCCAUAAUCGGUGGAGGUUUGUAUAAUGUAGGUACUUUUUUAAUGAACUUUUUUUCUGUCACUUUCACGAAUUUUGUUGACUAGUUAAAACUAGCAUCUUAGCUAGGACCCGGAUUAUCAGAUUUUUUUUAUAAUUUUAGUAGUAGUAUUAGGGGUAAUACUCGAAGUUCCGACAAUUGUUUUUGUAAUUGUUUAUUGUUCGCUUGUAAUUCAGUUACUUUAAGUAACUGAAGUAAGUAGUUAUUUAAACCAGAGAAUGUUGGUCAAUGUUUUGAUAUAUUUGCAUAUGUGUGUCUAUUACGAAAGACGGCCGCCUCAGCUAAUGAUAUUAAUUGAUAGAAAAAUGUUUCUUAUAGGAUUCAUUGUAACCAUGAUGAGUACUUUGGAAAUUGCUUAUAAGCUACUUGGUAGACCUCAGAGCCUUCUGAAAUACAUUCUUACUAACAAAAUGUCUCAGGACCAUCUUGAACUUUUUUUUGGUUGUAUUCGUUCAAGAGGAAGUUCUAACAGUAAUCUGAAUUGCAUUCAGUUUAAAAAAAUACUAAGAAAAUUGUUAUUUACCAAAA